GCCAGCAGCCGCGGUAAUACGUAGGAAGCAAGCGUUAUCCGGAUUUAUUGGGCGUAAAGUGAGCGUAGGUGGUCUUUCAAGUUGGAUGUGAAAUUUCCCGGCUUAACCGGGACGUGUCAUUCAAUACUGUUGGACUAGAGUACAGCAGGAGAAAACGGAAUUCCCGGUGUAGUGGUAAAAUGCGUAGAUAUCGGGAGGAACACCAGAGGCGAAGGCGGUUUUCUAGGUUGUCACUGACACUGAGGCUCGAAAGCGUGGGGAGCGAACAGAAUUAGAUACUCUGGUAGUCCACGCCUUAAACUAUGGACACUAAGUAUAGGGAGUAUCGACCCUCUCUGUGCCGAAGCUAACGCUUUAAGUGUCCCGCCUGGGGAGUACGGUCGCAAGGCUAAAACUCAAAGGAAUUGACGGGGGCCCGCACAAGCAGCGGAGCGUGUGGUUUAAUUCGAUGCUACACGAAGAACCUUACCAAGAUUUGACAUGCAUGAAGUAGUGAACCGAAAGGGAAACGACCUGUUAAGUCAGGAGUUUGCACAGGUGCUGCAUGGCUGUCGUCAGCUCGUGCCGUGAGGUGUUUGGUUAAGUCCUGCAACGAGCGCAACCCUUGUUGCUAGUUAAAUUUUCUAGCGAGACUGCCCCGCGAAACGGGGAGGAAGGUGGGGAUGACGUCAAGUCAGCAUGGCCUUUAUAUCUUGGGCUACACACACGCUACAAUGGACAGAACAAUAGGUUGCAACAGUGUGAACUGGAGCUAAUCCUCAAAGCUGUCCUCAGUUCGGAUUGCAGGCUGAAACCCGCCUGCAUGAAGUUGGAGUUGCUAGUAACCGCAUAUCAGCAAGGUGCGGUGAAUACGUUCUCGGGCCUUGUACACACCGCCCGU
rnacentral:rRNA from 1 species